GACGAACGCGGCGGCGUGCCUAAUACAUGCAAGUCGAACGAGAGCGACCGGUGCUUGCACUGGUCAAUCUAGUGGCGAACGGGUGAGUAACACGUGGGUAACCUGCCCAUCAGAGGGGGAUAACAUUCGGAAACGGAUGCUAAACCGCAUAGGUUCUACAGUCGCAUGACUGGAGAAGGAAAAGAGGCUUCGGCUUCUGCUGAUGGAUGGACCCGCGGUGCAUUAGCUAGUUGGUGAGGUAACGGCUCACCAAGGCCGUGAUGCAUAGCCGACCUGAGAGGGUGAUCGGCCACAUUGGGACUGAGACACGGCCCAAACUCCUACGGGAGGCAGCAGUAGGGAAUCUUCCGCAAUGGACGCAAGUCUGACGGAGCAACGCCGCGUGAGUGAAGAAGGAUUUCGGUUGUAAAACUCUGUUGUUAGAGAAGAACAGCGCAUAGAGUAACUGUUA
rnacentral:rRNA from 1 species